rnacentral:rRNA from 1 species
AGCAUAAUGAGAGUACUUCAGGAAUAAGGGACGGCUAAUUACGUGCCAGCAGCCGCGGUAAUACGUAAGUCCCAAGUGUUACCCGGAAUCAUUGGGUGUAAAGGGUUCGUAGGCGGAUAAUUAAGUUGGGUAUUAAAGACCGAGGCUCAACCUCGUGUUUGUGCCCAAAACUGAUUAUCUAGAAUUAGGGAGAGGUAAGUGGAAUUCUGUGUGUAGGGGUGCAAUCCGUAGAUACACAGAGGAACACCAAAAGCGAAGGCAACUUACUGGAACUGUAUUGACGCUGAGCAACGAAAGCGUGGGUAGCGAAAAGGAUUAGAUACCCUUGUAGUCCACGCCCUAAACGAUGAUAACUAAGUGUUGGGACUAGAUCUCAGUGCUGAAGCUAACGCAUUAAGUUAUCCACCUGAGGAGUACGGUCGCAAGAUUAAAACUCAAAGGAAUAGACGGGGACCCACACAAGCAGUGGAUCACGUGGUUUAAUUCGAUAAUAAACGGGGAACCUUACCCAGACUUGACAUCCUAGGAAUUCCAAAGAGAUUUGGAAGUGCUUUUAUUAGAACCUAGUGACAGGUGCUGCAUGGUUGUCGUCAGCUCGUGCCUUGAGGUGUUCGGUUAAGUCCGUUAACGAGCGCAACCCAUGUCUCUAGUUAUUAUGUCUAGAGAGACUGCCUUGGUUAACAAGGAGGAAGGUGUGGAUGACGUCAAAUCAGCAUGGCUUUUACGUCUGGGGCUACACACAUGAUACAAUGGUAUGUACAAAGGGCUGCAAUAGAGCAAUCUUGAGCUAAUCCUAAAAGCAUAUCUUAGUCCGGAUUGGAGUCUGCAACUCGACUCCAUGAAGUUGGAAUUGCUAGUAAUCGUGAAUCAGAUAUGUCACGGUGAAUAUGUUCCUGGGUCUUGUACACACCGCCCGUC